GUUUCUGGUUGGGGAUCCUUUUCUUAAGAGUUUGCCCUUGUGAGCCAAGAUCUUUAGAGAGGGCCAGUGAAUCAACAGCCCCACACUCCUUUGGUAGGAGAGACUGAGAACAACACCAAACCACAAUGAAACGUGCUUUCCAUUUCCAGUCAAGAUAAAAUGGGACCCAAGCCUCACCCAAUGUGACUCGUUAAGCAGAAAAGCAGUUCCUCAUUACUGCUGUUAUUAAUGGUGUGAUGGGUGCUACAAACACAGCGGUUCUCCCUUAAGGCCUAUUCUGAACACAGCACAAGCUGAAUUGGGUUCACUUCGAAUUGGUCUCAAAAUGGAUGUAUUGAAGGACAAAUCAUUAGCACUGGGUCUUGGUAUCAGUGUUAUUCAUGUGGUGUGCACACACACCCAAGGCCUGAGGUGUGAGGCAGCACCAAAUGGCUCUUUCCAUGCAGAGGGCUGCAAGGAAGAACCGGGUGAGUGCCUUCAAUGCAAUGACCACUUGAGUGUGGGAGGCAGUGAGUUUUCCUGCACUGGGCAAAAGGAGGAAUGGAUGGCCGUGGGGGUUGUAACACUCGUGAGCUGCUGAACACCGGGAGGAGCAGGCAGCGGUGUCUGGCAGACACGGAACAGCUGGAAAGGACAGCAGAGGGUGCACAGGGAAUGCCGUGCGGUUGUGUGGGUCGGACACCUGUGCUGAUGAGGAGCAGCCCGCCUUGCACUGCGGCGCUGUGGGAAUGGAGAAACUUCGCCUAUUUUUGGUGCUACAAAGUGACGGAGGGCAGCGGGGAAGGCGCUGUGCUGUGAAUAACGCUCCUCAGCCCUCCGUGGAGUGACCUUGGGUUUGAUGCCGUGAUUUACUGUGCUCGCCUGUGCGACUCUGUCAUAGAGACAGCAUUAAAAAAAGGGCAGUAAAGGAGCAGGAGCCGCCAGCCGUAACUUAAACGUUCCUUGUGCUCACCGAACGAACGUAGCCGAGCUCAGAAACUUCGCUGCACCGCCAGCCUCGCAGGCUGCAUUCACCACGUCGCGAGAGCACGAAGGGGGUUAAUUCCUCCCUCCAGGCUCUCACGCAUUGUCACAUACCUGCUCAUUUCUACGUUCGCUGCAAAAAAAAAAAACCCAUAGCUGCCGGGAACGUGCGCCGGAGCGGCCGCACCCCGGCCUUGCAGGGCGUGCCCUGCGUGCCCCGCCAGCCCAAAGCCU
rnacentral:lncRNA from 1 species